rnacentral:rRNA from 1 species
CAGCAGCCGCGGGAAUACGUAGGUGGCAAGCGUUGUCCGGAAUUACUGGGCGUAAAGCGUGCGCAGGCGGUUCGUUAAGACAGAUGUGAAAUCCCCGGGCUUAACCUGGGAACGGCAUUUGUGACUGGCGGGCUAGAGUAUGGCAGAGGGGGGUAGAAUUCCACGUGUAGCAGUGAAAUGCGUAGAGAUGUGGAGGAAUACCGAUGGCGAAGGCAGCCCCCUGGGCCAAUACUGACGCUCGUGCACGAAAGCGUGGGGAGCAAACAGGAUUAGAUACCCCGGUAGUCCCUGUCUCUUAUAC